CCCUGCAACCAUUCAGGCAAUACAAUCUCUCUGGACCGCAAACAAUUGACCUCUCUUCGUCUCUUUAUCUCGACUCCUUGUGGCAACCAAGGUGCACCACCGCUCGGACCGUGCUAACCCAGCCGCUACCUGAGUUAUUUUGGCAUUGCUACUGAAAGGAAAGAAACAAGUGCAAACAAAAGGUUGGGGGGAGUACAAAAUGAUGAAUGUAGAAGCUUUCCCCAUGGAUUAGGGCUUGUUCCUGAAAAACAGUGCUUGAUGCUUAUAUUGAAUAGUACAAUGUUUAGAGCCGGGAGAAAGCAACUUUGGAAACGAAGCAUUGGCAGAGUGAAAAAGGUAAGGAAAACUGAAUUUUGAACUAUGUUUAGAUUAAUAAAUAUAGAAUUUGAAUAACAUUGUGUACUGAGGGGGGAGGGCACAGAAAAAAGCAUUUUAAAAUAGGCAUGAGUGGAUGAUGUUAGUUGCACAAUUUGUUUUGAAAGGCAAAUUUGCACUGGGAGGUGUUUAUGCAUUUGGCUAGUGCUGCUUGUAUCUUGCCCAGAUUGUUGCAAUGGUCUGGUAAUGCUAUAAUUUCACAAAUGCUAUAUUAGUACACUAAAGAGUUUGAUGCUAGAUGUGGCAACAAAAAAUGGGUUGACUUUGCCAUGAAGGAAAAUAGAAAUGUAACUCCACUCUCCCCAUACUUCUAAGAUGGGAAUAGAAUUUUGAAGGCAAUAUUUAGCAUUGAGAAACCACAAUAGACUAUAUAAGUCAUUAAGAUACUUAGACUCAUUUUAAAAGCUGGUUAUCUAAUCAAACUGUUCCUGAGUUAAUGCAAUGUGAUGACAUGUGCAGAGCUCUGAUUUUUGAGGUUUAAGAGUUAGAUAAGGGAACUGCCCUAAUUCUUUAGGGUUUGUAUUUUUUUGGAAAGAGGAAAUAAAAACAUUGAAACUUGAAAAUUAAAAACUCGGGGUGCUUGAAAAUAUUUGAAAUGGUGUGCAGUUUACUUUUGAUGGGAAAUUCAUGAGC
rnacentral:lncRNA from 1 species